ACCAGACUCCUACGGGAGGCAGCAGUGGGGGAUAUUGCACAAUGGGGGAAACCCUGAUGCAGCGACGCCGCGUGGGUGAAGAAGUAUUUCGGUAUGUAAAGCCCUAUCAGCAGGGAAGAAAGAAGACGGUACCUGACUAAGAAGCCCCGGCUAACUACGUGCCAGCGGCCGCGGUAAUACGUAGGGGGCGAGCGUUAUCCGGAUUCACUGGGUGUAAAGGGAGCGUAGACGGCCGUGCAAGCCAGGAGUGAAAGCCCGGGGCCCAACCCCGGGACUGCUCUUGGAACUGUGCGGCUGGAGUGCGGGAGGGGCAGGCGGAAUUCCUGGUGUAGCGGUGAAAUGCGUAGAUAUCAGGAGGAACACCGGCGGCGAAGGCGGCCUGCUGGACCGCGACUGACGUUGAGGCUCGAAAGCGUGGGGAGCGAACAGGAUUAGAUACCCUCGUAAUG
rnacentral:rRNA from 1 species